rnacentral:rRNA from 1 species
CACGUAGGGCGCAAGCGUUGUCCGGAAUUAUUGGGCGUAAAGAGCGCGUAGGCGGUCUGUUGCGUCCGCUGUGAAAACUCGGGGCUUAACCCCGAGCCUGCAGUGGAUACGGGCAGACUAGAGGUAGGUAGGGGAGAAUGGAAUUCCCGGUGUAGCGGUGAAAUGCGCAGAUAUCAGGAGGAACACCGGUGGCGAAGGCGGUUCUCUGGGCCUUACCUGACGCUGAGGAGCGAAAGCGUGGGGAGCGAACAGG